AUCAUAGAAGCUGAUUCAGCGAGUCAGGCGUGCACCCGGCACACACGAUGGCUGCAGCAGCUGGAGCGCUCUCUAGGUCAUUAUGGCUCUCUUCACUACGGGAAGAGGAGGAGAGGAGGGGAGGAGAGGAGGAGCAGCUCAGAUAAGAAAACUGAUCUGACAGCAGCAGAGCUCUUUGGCUCAUUAGGCUUCAUGGUUGCAGCCCUGCCGCUAUCUAAUGACGGACUCGUUAACUCAGACCUGCACUGGUGUGGAGAGACAUUCCCUUAUGCACAAUUCGCCCUCUGCAUCCGACUCCUUCCAAGGUGUUUUUGUCUCCAUGACCAAGGAUACUAUAAUUAUUUGGACUUUUAAUGUAUUUUUUUAAUGUAUUUUUUAAUCUCUUUUUUCUUUUAGUUUUUUGGUCCUACCAGACCACUUUAUCAGUUAGAUUGAGGGGCGGGGGAGGUCGCUGCCAUUCUUAAUUGAUGGGAGGUAAGUUUGAGGACACGUCACACUUUUAAACCCGAGGCUGGCCGAUUGGGGCGGAAGGAUGGAUUGUGGCGACCAGGGGGAUGACGAAGCAUCAGAAUAAUGAACAGCGGGGCAGGUCCGGAGUUCGGAACAGGGGGAAAAGAGGAUUGAUGGCACAAAGCUGGGACAAGUGUAUUAACACAGAUGUGGGGGGGGGGGUUAUUGGGCAGCAAUAGUUGGCUGUGUAGAUGUGUGUCACUGGCUGAACCGCUAGCACUUGAGGUAGUAACCCAGUUUCUUCUCUAUUUCUCUAUCUGUAAAGGAUUGCUAUAGGCUAGGCAGGGCGUGCAGGGCACACAGUGCUGCAGUGUUAUCGCCUAAACCAGAAAAGACCCAACAACCACGGGGCUAAUUUGCUGGUUCAUGUUCCCCAACCUCCGUCCUGCUAAGCGUAGGAAGGAAUUUCAAACCCCCCUCUCUCCUCUUUGCUCACCCUCUCGGGUGGCUGUGACAUUUCCUAAACAGGACGUCACACCUUUCGGACCAGGCUCACCCACCUGCCCAGCCCUGUCUUUGUGCAGAGAACAACUGUCACCGCCACUUCAACCUUCCUUCAUUACUAUUCCAAGCCCUACCACUGCAAAAACAUUGCACCACUUUCCCCAUUUAUUCAGCUCUAUUCCACCCAGUCUCCCAAUUCAAACCUAAGCUGCUGCCCCCUCCUCCCUAAUCCAUUUUUUCGAUUUACACCCAUAGCCUCAGCAUUCAGUCUGCUGGCUAGCUUAGCCCGGUUGGGAGGCAGUGUGGACUUGUGGAAUGUGUUGGUGUGGGGCAAAGAUUCAUUAGAGGCUUGCUGAACAAUUCUCGCUACCAUGCAAAUGGUUAUUGAUCUGUUCCACCCACUCUGCAACACGACAGCUGGUUUGGCUGUGAGCACAGACAGGUGACGUUUGAUCAGAGGGAAGAGGAAGUGAGAGAAGUUGACCAUAAAAACAGUGCUGGGGGAGAGGGGGAGAGAGAGAGGGAGAGGGAGAGAGACGGAAUUAUGGGGAGGGGGGGGCUAAACAGGACCAAUCCACAAGUGCUGAGUGGGCAUUAGCGCCUUCAUGUGACCUAUGGCCUGCCUCUGCGCCUAAAGCCCAAAUCCUGCUCACAAUAGCUUCCUGUUCCACUUGGAUCACCCUCGUUUUCAAGCAUCAGCAACUGCUCCAGCUCGCCACUGGGGACACCGCUGACGCCAGAGAGACAGGCAAGAGAGGGGUACGUAUGGGCAAAUGUGAGAGGUGGGAAAGAAGAGAGGACACAGAAGGUGGGGGUGAAACAAGAGAACCAGAUGACGGUGAGGGAGACAGGAGUGGGAGGAGAGAAGAGAAAAUGUUUUAGUAUGUCAGCGGGGCCAUGCAGCUUAUAGGUGCACCACUGCUCCCAGGACACAGCAAAUGGUCGUCAUACAAGAUGAGGUGCACACAGAGGCGCCUCUUACCAAGGACUUUCCUUCAAGGAGAAAACUCUUCUUCUUCGCUGCAGAAUUUUUUUGUCCAACCCUUUAAUCUACCUCAUCAACAUUUUUUUCCUGGAAAGACAAAAAGACUUCCACUUUCUAACUACUUAAAAAAAAAAAGAGAGAGAGCUGUCUUCCUCCCCCUGACCCUCCUGGUUUCUCCCAGUUUUUUUGGAGGACAGUGGGGGUCACUGUUAGUCGACUAUGGUAUGGACUGCAAAACUUUUGUUAUGUUCAGGGGCGGGGGGACUGGCUGUUCAGCCUUACAUGGCAACCAAAGGAAAGCCUUGAGCGUGGACCUGAAUUUACACUCAAAGUCACCUUACGGUGCAGACUACCAUACUUGGGAGGGAGAGCGGUGAGGAAAAAUGUUCUGCUCAUAACUUCCUGACCUUGGCGAAAGGUGAGAAAAUGUCAUACCUAAGAUUACCUCCUUGGUGCACAUACUUCUUUAUGUACCCAUAUGAACAUAUGAUAGCUAUGGAAUGUAAAGAAGUAUGUAUUCCUGGUGAGGUGCGAGUCCUCGUUCUGGAAAAAUGAUGUUGCACAGCGCUGUCUGAGGACGUGUUUGUGCUUUGCAAACUGUUAAUAUGGCUGUGAUCGUGGUGUGAGAGAAAAUAGCAGGCGAGGUAAAAAGAGAGCGAGAGGGAGGAAGAAAGCGAGAGAAAGAGAGCAUGAAUGUGAGUGGUAGGGCUCAUACAUUAGCUAUACUGUCUCUGGGCAGUCUCACUGCAGCAAUAAUCGCUGUAGGGAACUUACUGCUUUCUCAAUUUGGCUGAGUUGGCCAAUAAAAAUCUCUCAUCCAAGAUAGGCCAACAAUUGAAUCCCACAAUUCAUUGAACAAUUAUGUAAGUUAGAUAGCAAUCGUGUUUCGGGCUUGCUUUGAGUUUUAGCCAUCGGCACCAACUAUGAGCAAAAAGUCGCCUUGUUACAACGCCAUAUGCACAUGGUCUCUUUCCCUCAUGUGAUUUUACUGCAUUACAGCCCUUGAAAUUCAGCCAGUAGCAACUUAGCCCUAACUUCAGCAAACAGAGAAUGGUGCUCCUGACCAUUAAUACCAUAAUCUUUUCCAGUACUUCCACAAAGCAAGGGGGAAAGGGACCAUAAACUCUGCCUUUGUUGCUGCAUUUUUUUUUUUUUAACAUGCAACUGAAAGAGCAGGAAAUAGUUGCUGAGUAGGCAGAAUGAAGAGGCACUGUCGCUGCUGCCACACACUGGCUCUGUCCUACUGCUGUAUCAUAUGGCUUCCGUGUUAACAAUCUUGUGUGUUUAACUACGACUGCCCGUCCCUUUAUGUUGCUGCCCUUAUCUGCACCCCACCCCACAUCAACCCGGCUGCCCCCGUGGCUCCCCUCCUCUCCCCCUGAUUCCUGCUCUCAUUGUUCACGUUUGCUAUGCUUGCCAAAUGCUUUGCCGGGGCCGCAUGGCAGUAAGAUUAGACCAUCAAAAAGUGACAAUGCAGGAUCAGGGUCAACUCUGGCCCGUCAGCUGAUUCCGAUUGUCAACUGCUUCAAACAAAUAAAAGGCAACAGAAUAUGGACAGAGGUGCGGAGAGAAAUGAAGCCAGGGGGGAGGCGGUGGGGAGGCGGUUUGCACAGCGGGCUAUUCAUAUCUAGCACUUUCACCUAUUCUGACCCUCUGUAUGGCCCGUGCCUGGAUCACAGACGAGGCCUGCACCAGUUUUAGCACAGGUUUACCUCUAUUCAAACCCCUUUAAUGUAGAAUCACUGCUCUGCUAAAGGUAAUUCCUCCACUGCAGUUUGACUCCAGCUUGAAAAAUCUAAUGGAAGAGAUAAUAAAGAUAGAAAAAUGUAAUAUUUCAAUAGUUCUAACCAAGAAAUAAACUAAUCAGAAGGUUAACAAUCCUAAUCAAAAAUCUACAACGGCAAUUCAACUAUUACUACAGUUCGCCUUAUAAGGAUGAUCUUAUAUAUGCUCAUAUCAAAAGUUCCUUCAUUAAAUUAGAUUUAUUUUAAUUUUAAAUGAAUUUUGUUUGUAGCUGCAGGCUGGAGUGUAUCCAUGCCAUCAAAAUUUAUCCUGCAGUAGAGCAGCGAAAAAGCAAACCCAUGCCACUCUAGUACAACGGUUUGCUUCUGAAAUACAGGACACUUUAUUCUGAACUGAUUAAUUAGCCAAGGUUACGGCUGACUUAAUCUAUUUCCCUUAAGUAAAAGAACUAUCUAACCAGAGGUGGCAUCCGUGACAAAGACACUGAAAAUCAAAACGUAUUUUAACUGAGUUGACCCACUCUAGUUGAAAACAUUUAAGCGGAAAAAAGCAACAAUAGAAAUGAGAUUUUAGCCCAAAGAUUUUCAAUUUCGCUGAAGAAGUAACAUUUGAUCUAUGAAGAAUAAAACAAAAGUCCUGCUCAAAUGUUCUCAGGGAAAUACUUGAAGGCAGGGUUUGAAUAAAAUGUUCAACAUUUUACACAAAGCUGACUAGUUGCUGAUUCUUUAACGGCGGCUAAAAAGGGUCAGAUCAAUUUAUAAUAAUUCAACAUUAUAAAGAGACGCUAGAGAAAAGGUCACCUCAGUCCACAGGUAAAACAGAAAAAUCUUUUCUUAUUUUUUGCGGUAGGAACAACAUAAUAAAGCUUAAUUUCCAUGCUUCUAACCAUUCAGACCCUGCAUGAUAUUCUAUCUGCCAGGACAUAAGAGGCGUGAAGGAGUGAACGGCUUGCACUGCAUGUUUCUACCAGGCCCUCAAUAGCUCUGACCUGCUGUCUGAGUGACAAACGCAGCAGAUGCUGACAUUAUCAAAUACUCAGUGCCUGUCGUCCCCCUCUGCUUUUGCCCUGUUAUGGCCCUUAGACGAGGUGAGCAGCCCGGCCACCUGACUCUGAGUGACGGAGGGACUGUGUGAGUGUGUGCACGUGUGUAAGUGAGCAAGCAUGAAUGUGCAUGUGUUUGUUACAAAUAGACCUGCCUCUGGUGUGCCAUAUCAGCCUAGCCCUAUGUUGACCUCUAUCCUGUCUACAAGCAGUGCUGUAUAUCCCUCAGCUGUCGCUGGCCACUCCUGAGAACCUCUCUUGAGCCUUGGCAGGAAAAAAUUUAAUAAUUAUAACAGCUGACUAUUUCAAAUUCAUCUUUAAAAAUAGCGUUAAAGGAAAAUUUAUAAAGUUCAAUUAAAAAAAAGAAUGAAGGCUAAAAAUUUGCCAAAUAAAUACUGCUUAAACAUAUCUUAACUCAAAAGUAGAGCUUAUUUUUCGGGGUUUGACAGGUGUUUGAGAAGUUCAAUGUUUUGUGGCAAUAAUAAAAUAUUGCAGCAGUAAAAUUAAAAAGAAAAACUGCAAAGCAGUUUGUGCAGCAUGGUUAAAAUAUGGAAAAGGAGGUUUGAUGUUGCCCGAAUAGCUGAAAUGUUUAGUGAUCUUAUAAAUGACUACAACUACCAUAAACUUAGGUACAAAAAAACCACAAAAACAUAAUCACAAUGUUCUUUAUGUGGGUGUUACUGUGACAAUUCUUUUUGUAUUAGCACAGGAUGGAUUUUUAGUACAAACUGUUACAACAGCAGUGCACUGCAGAGCCCUGAAAGAGACAUAAUAUAAUCUGCCCUCAGUCACUGUUCAAACACUACCCUCUACACUAGAAAUCAGUCUCUAGGUCUUAAAUGACUGUUUAAAUUAAUGUUGUGACUUGACGCCCCAGAGUGCUACAGUAGGCGUGUGAGUGAAAGAGCUUGUGUAUGCGGUUAUGCCUCUGCAUUUGUCUGUUGGCCGUCUCGGUGACCGGAGUAGCGGCGUGCUUGCAGCAGGACCCAUCUGUCAGAGUCUGUAAUUGCUUCAUGACUCCAGGACAUUUGACUCAAGUGCACUGCCACAGAUUAUUAUUAUCCUUUUCUCAGGGAACAAUUUUUCUCACUCUCUGGGAGGGGGCAAGCAUUAAACUUAAAAAGAUAGCGAGCAGGAUAAAUAGGCUGCCUGGGAGGCAGCAAAGGAGAAAGUUAGGUAAGGUUGAUCAACUGUACCCAUGUGUUAUUGGUGUGGUGGUAAAUGUGCCUGUGUGUGAGUGUGUGUGUCACGCAGAGUGGGUGAAAGUGGACAGGCGAGAGAAAAAGCAGAAGAGAGGAAGAGACUACAGCACUGUCCAUUUCAACGAGUGGGAGCCACAACUUUGAUUUUUAACAAGAUGUUCAAAUGCAACACGGCCUCGCUCUGGCUCUUUUGGGAUGAAACCUAACGGCAGACCAAACAUUUUGAGAGUUCACUUGACUUCAGCGGUUUCCAUGUUGGUCUCUGAAACCUGUGAUUCCAAAAUGCUUUGCUAAAGCUGGUAAAAUGGAACCAAAUCACCUCUUGAAUGGAUUUGGUCCCCUUCAACCAGCUGUAGCUAUGCAUUGAUGACUACAAGGACCUUCGACACAAUCACUCCAGCAGCAGCGAGGCCACGUCUUGAUGAGCACUGGCUUAUUAUGGCCUAUUCCUCUACCUACAACAUCUGUGGUGUGGUCAGAGGUUGUCAUGUUCAAUGUUAAACCUGUUUAUGUUGUUUUGACUAAUAAAGAAAAGCAAUCCCAGCUUUAAAAACUU